rnacentral:rRNA from 1 species
ACGCAGGCGGGUUCUUACACAUGCAAGUCGAACGAUGAAGCCCUUCGGGGUGGAUUAGUGGCGAACGGGUGAGUAACACGUGGGCAAUCUGCCCUUCACUCUGGGACAAGCCCUGGAAACGGGGUCUAAUACCGGAUACAACCACCGGCCGCAUGGUCUGGUGGUGGAAAGCUCCGGCGGUGAAGGAUGAGCCCGCGGCCUAUCAGCUUGUUGGUGAGGUAGUGGCUCACCAAGGCGACGACGGGUAGCCGGCCUGAGAGGGCGACCGGCCACACUGGGACUGAGACACGGCCCAGACUCCUACGGGAGGCAGCAGUGGGGAAUAUUGCACAAUGGGCGAAAGCCUGAUGCAGCGACGCCGCGUGAGGGAUGACGGCCUUCGGGUUGUAAACCUCUUUCAGCAGGGAAGAAGCGAGAGUGACGGUACCUGCAGAAGAAGCGCCGGCUAACUACGUGCCAGCAGCCGCGGUAAUACGUAGGGCGCGAGCGUUGUCCGGAAUUAUUGGGCGUAAAGAGCUCGUAGGGCGGUCUGUCGCGUCGGAUGUGAAAGCCCGGGGGCUUAACCCCCGGGUCUGCAUUCGAUACGGGCAGACUAGAGUGUGGUAGGGGAGAUCGGAAUUCCUGGUGUAGCGGUGAAAUGCGCAGAUAUCAGGAGGAACACCGGUGGCGAAGGCGGAUCUCUGGGCCAUUACUGACGCUGAGGAGCGAAAGCGUGGGGAGCGAACAGGAUUAGAUACCCCUGGUAGUCCACGCCGUAAACGGUGGGAACUAGGUGUUGGCGACAUUCCACGUCGUCGGUGCCGCAGCUAACGCAUUAAGUUCCCCGCCUGGGGAGUACGGCCGCAAGGCUAAAACUCAAAGGAAUUGACGGGGGGCCCGCACAAGCAGCGGAGCAUGUGGCUUAAUUCGACGCAACGCGAAGAACCUUACCAAGGCUUGACAUACACCGGAAACGGCCAGAGAUGGUCGCCCCCUUGUGGUCGGUGUACAGGUGGUGCAUGGCUGUCGUCAGCUCGUGUCGUGAGAUGUUGGGUUAAGUCCCGCAACGAGCGCAACCCUUGUUCUGUGUUGCCAGCAUGCCCUUCGGGGUGAUGGGGACUCACAGGAGACUGCCGGGGUCAACUCGGAGGAAGGUGGGGACGACGUCAAGUCAUCAUGCCCCUUAUGUCUUGGGCUGCACACGUGCUACAAUGGCAGGUACAAUGAGCUGCGAUGCCGUGAGGCUGAGCGAAUCUCAAAAAGCCUGUCUCAGUUCGGAUUGGGGUCUGCAACUCGACCCCAUGAAGUCGGAGUUGCUAGUAAUCGCAGAUCAGCAUUGCUGCGGUGAAUACGUUCCCGGGCCUUGUACACACCGCCCGUCACGUCACGAAAGUCGGUAACACCCGAAGCCGGUGGCCCAACCCCUUGUGGGAGGGAGCUUCGAAGUGAACUGACUG